rnacentral:rRNA from 1 species
GUGUCAGCAGCCGCGGUAAUACGUAGGGUGCGAGCGUUGCCCGGAUUUAUUGGGCGUAAAGGGCGCGCAGGCGGUACGGCACGUCCGUUGUGAAAUCGCUCGGCUCAACUGGGCGGGGUCAGCGGAUACGGCCGCACUCGAGCAAGCUAGGGGGCAAUGGAAUUCCCGGUGUAGUGGUGGAAUGCGUAGAUAUCGGGAGGAACACCAGUGGCGAAGGCGGUUGCCUGGAGCUUUGCUGACGCUGAGGCGCGAAAGCGUGGGGAGCGAUCCGGAUUAGAUACCCGGGUAGUCC